AGCCGUUGGUGGAUUUUGGCAUUCAGACCAAACUCAAGAAGAAAUCAGGACAAAAUGGUGGCGGCAAUGCACCUAUAAGUUGGAUGCCAGCCGCCAAUUAAAAUAAGAAGAAGAAGAAGAAGAAGAAGAAGAAGAAAUAAUAUCCGCUUGGCUCUGUGCACCUUCCGCCUCUACAACAACCUACACAGCAAUCCGAAAAUCAGCGUCCACUAAAUUGCAGAUGGAGUCAUGCAGUUUGACAGUUUGGCCACUGAGGAACAAAUAAGGAGCUUCAGAGCAUUUGAAGCAUGCACCGCAAAGGAGUGGAGGGGGGCUUCACCUAUGGGCUUCACAGCCAUCAGGACUGAUUCUGUGACAGUGUUGUUUUACAUGUUCUACACUGUAGUUGCAGUCCUCGGUGUUUGUGCAUCUUAUCAUAAAUAAUAAUACUAAUUUAAAAAACCCCACAAAGGGAAUGUGUGUGUUAAAAUAUUAACCAGUUGUCUAAAAAUAGAAAGAAAGGGCCAGAUUUAUUUUCAUCAUGUGAAUUUGUGAAGUUUGACACAGAAAGAGAUAUAUAAAUAAAUAUAUACAGGUAUAUAGGGUUUAUUGAUAAUAUAUAUACAGUAUAUAAUUUAUAUUAUAUUUGUACCCUAUUUUUGAAGUACUUGUAUUGUACCUUUUAUUUUUUUUAACACGGUUUUUCUAACUUGAGGCUUAUGCUGCCUGCUGUUUAGUAGCCUAGUAACUAUUGUCAACUGACGUGUGCAAUAAAAAAUGGGUGAAAAAACAGUCUGGACUGGAUUGUGAUUUAUUAUUAACGUGACUGUAGAAUCGUGUCCAGAAGGUAGGAACCUGUUUUCCUGUACAAGCUAAUUUUACUGUAGCGUAAUUUGGUUAUGCAUUGGAACUAAAGCAGUACAGUAAAAGUCUAAAAUGAGUUAUAAUUUGACGUAGAAAAGACGUCCACAACGACCAUAUUUGGACUAGAAAUAGCUCCUGCACGGCGGUACUGUGGACGUCGUAAAUGGACGUCAAGUAUACGUUGAAAGAAAGACGUCGUCUGGAGUAACAGUCUGCACCUUGAGGGGACCAAAAUUAGACGUGCAAAAAUGACUUGGAAAAGACGUCGUUUGGACGUCUCUGCGCAGUGGGUACGCUGUUGGCUGUAGUUGCAGCAGCAGGAUAUUUGUGUUUACAUCCCUGCAG